rnacentral:rRNA from 1 species
AAGUCGUAACAAGGUUUCCGUAGGUGAACCUGCGGAAGGAUCAUUACUAGAACAACUUCAAGCAACUUGAAGAGGCGCGGGGUAGCCGCCUACUCAAUUCAGCCCCCCGCGGACCGCCGAACGGCGAUCUCCAAACCCCACUCUCCGCGUACACAUCCCUGUUGCUUCCCCGGGCAGGGUCCCGGGGGAGGUCCCAGAGCAAACAAUGCCGCCCAACCCACCCGCGGCCCCUCCGUCUGAUGGCCAGCGCGCCAAGGAAGAAGGAACGAGCGAAAAGGAAAAAACUUUCAACAACGGAUCUCUUGGUUCCCGCAUCGAUGAAGAACGCAGCGAAAUGCGAUAAGUAAUGUGAAUUGCAGAAUUCAGUGAAUCAUCGAAUCUUUGAACGCACAUUGCGCCCCCUGGCAUUCCGGGGGGCAUGCCUGUUCGAGCGUCUCUGGGACGAAUCCUCGCGCGGGUCAACGCGUGGUCAUGGCGGCGGUGGCGUGCCCUAGGCGGCGGCCACCGCGCUGGAAUCCAUUGGCGGACGCCUGCCGCGUGGCCGAGCGUGAUAUUACGCACUGGCGCUCGCGCGCGGCGAGGCCGACAGCCCUGGCCCGUACGUCGGGCGGGGGACAGC